AAUUGUGAAGAUUUUUGUUUUCUUUAUGUUGAGGUGCAAUCCAUACUGAAGACUGUGGUCUUUGAUCUUCAUCAGUAAGUUCUUCAACUCUUCACUUUCAGCAAGCAAGGUUGUGUUAUCAGCAUUAACGCCAGGUGGGAACCAUAAUUAGUACAAAAACACUGAGUAUGAGUAACGGAGUGUUGGAGACUGCAGCAAACUCCAGACAAUGUAUUUCUGAAAGUGCAGCCAGAGAUGUUCCAGUGACUGGCUGUGUGGGAUCGUCAUGGACAGACAUUCUCAGGACAUCCAGACUUGCCUAUGUCCUGUGGCUGUGAUCACUGUCAGAGCAAACAAGUUAAAGGUUUUAUGGAUUCCUGUGCCCUCUCUGGGCUGGCAACCCCAACUCCGUUACUGCACAGGAAAGAAAACAUGGAUGGAGAGAAUGUAGAUCCUGCAGCUGGCGAUGCGGUUUUGUGACCCAGCCAGCAUGCCUAUUGGCUCAGAUGGUAACUGUCUUCAUUGCUCACCCAUAUUUCCUGCCACCGAUGCAGGGCUGCCCUUCCCCAGACUAUGUUUCAUUGGCUCAACUGCUUUCCAGGGCACAGAUCAUAUUCAGGGUCUUCAGUCUUGAAGAUAGAUCUUUAUGCAGGUGGUGGCCUGGACCUCCAGAACUUUUGAGCUUACUGACUGAUGGAAGCAUGUGCGAUGUAGAAUCUGAGGUUUGUUGAAUUACGAGGAAGGUGGUUGGACAUCUGAAGCAUCAUGAUGUUCACAGCUGCUAGAUGAUUUUGAAUGAACCUGGUAAGACUGUUUAAGAGGCAGGGCAAAAACAGAGAGAUUAGUAAUAGAAUUAUCAGCGGAGUAACAAGGUGCCAGAGCCAGUGGAAACCAGGAAAAGGGAAGUUAUCCAUGGCCAUCAAUCAGACAGAUUUUCUCCAGCAGUAAGUGGGUGAAGGGGAUGCAUCCAGUUGGCGAUCUGUUGUAAUUUGUGGAGAUUGACUUCUACCUCAUGGCUAGUGUUUAUCCGGGUAGAGCAGGAGGUAUUGGCUACAGUGCAGACGCCUCCUUCUUUGGCUAAAAUAUAAUCAAGGGUAAUGCCAUUCUCCAUGAUGACCCAGCCAGGAAAUUUAAGGAAGUUUGUUGGGCUUUUAUAGCUCAGCCGGCAGUUUUGGAAAAGGAAGUAAAUAGUGUCUAAGUUCAGUAUGGCAUCUUGAAGAGCUGCAAGGUGAGGGAAAAUUGUAAGCAUUCAGAGGAUCAACCAACCAGUGCUAGUUUCAGUUAUGGGAUUAUGCUCGGUUCCAGAUAAGCCCCAUCCAAUUUCAUCAGAGUUGUCUGAGGAUUGGGUUUCUGUUUUUUUUUUCUCCAGGAGUUAGUAAGUGGUUUCAUUAGCUGAGUGAAGUUAUAAGGGGAAGUGAUAACCAUGGGGAAGGACGCUAUUCCAAGGGUGCAAGUACCGAUCACGGCUCGCGGCAUAAAGCAUUUGUAAGAAGCAGAGAGGAAUGUUUGACUCCCGGAUUUAGUAUGAUUACCACAAAGAAAUGAAUACCCAGGCUGUGCGCAAACUCAAGUCCGGCUUGCAACUUUUGAGUUGUUCCUCUCUGAAUAAAACCAGGGGUUGGCAGUGUCAUUGAGCCAAUUUUUCCAGCUUUGUGUUAUGCUAUAGUUAUUGAUGACACAAUCUGAAUAAGUACCUAGGUGAAUGAGACCAGUUAGAUUCUGCAGUUUUUCAUUCCUUCUGUGAAGGUGGAGUAAUUACUGUAACUAAAAUUGCCUACAGUGUUUGAAUCUAUAACCCGGUAAAAUAUGCUUUCAAUUUUAAAGCUAGGAGUGGUAGCACUUGCUUUCUUGGCUCUUACCUCUAACCCAGGGCUAUCUAGAGUGUCAUUAUAGGUGGGAGGUGGUACCUUUAGGUGUGUAACAUCAGGUAUUGGAACUGCCCAAGGGAUGCAGAGACUUUCCAUGGUGAUAGGCAAAGGGUAACAUACCCAACAGACAGUGAGAUUGCCUCCAGUGGCUACUGAUUGGAUUAAUUUUAGAUAAAAAUUUUCUGUCCGUGAGAUGUUCAGCAUGGAGUCAAAACAUAAGAAAGCAAAGAAUGAUCUGGAGCUGCUGUAAAAAGAGAAGGAAGAACAGAAUGAUUGCCAAGGUAGUAAAGGCAAUGCAGCCAUUAAGAGCACAAUCGUGAUGGAGGGUUUCUGGGUUAGGCAUUAACUUUUUAUUUCUUUUUAAACAGAUAUUUUAAGUCCUGCGUAGGCUUACAAGUCCAGUUGUUUUGUUGAGGUUGUUCUUGUUGCAGAGUAUCUUCUGGGUGUGGCACAGGUUUGAGGUGAGUAUGAAGCACCCAGGCUUUGACAUUUUCACGUUUAGCUGUUGAGUUGGUGGUUAAAAGAACAGUGGCUUGGUUUGAAAGACCCCCGAGCCAUAGUGGCUGUAAGGAAGGCUGCUUGCGGUUUGAAUUUCUGAGUUUCUUUCUUUUCCUGGACCUGGUCUCUGUUGUUAUAUGCUUUAAAGGCUAUUUCAUCCAAUUGUGCUAGGUUCAUACUUAGGCUCCCCUUGGCUUUUUGUAACUUUUUUCUAAUGUCUGUUGCACUUUGCCUGAUAAAUACCAUAUUCACCAUUUUUGCGUUCUCUGGGUUUUCUGGUCUACAUCUGUAUAUUGUUGGAAUGCAGCAAAAAUUCUUUGAAGGAGGGUAGAUGGAUCCUUAGUCAAUCCUUGAUAGACCUCAUAAACCUUAUUCAAAUUCCUUUGUUUUGGAGCACCCCUUUUCAGUCCCACAAUAAGACAAGCUCAAUGAUGGUUGAGCCUUCCAUUUACCAGAGGAUCAUUAGGGUCCCAGGUAGGCUCAGAAAAAAGUAUUGCUAAAUCAAGAGCUUGUAGAAUAGGGUUGUUGGGCUGAUGGAAGCACUCCACUUCUUCCCUGGCUUUUCCUAAGACUAAUCUCCACUCCUCUGGGCUCAAAAGUAUAUCCAAGAGCAGCUGACAAUCAGUUCAGGUAGGGCAGCGGGUGGCAAAGAUGGAAGUGAAAAGGUCUGCCAUAUGCUUUAGGUCAUCUCAAUAAGGAGGGAGGUUUUUUUUUUUUUUU